UUAAGUGACGAUAGCCUAGGAGAUACACCUGUACCCAUGCCGAACACAGCAGUUAAGCCCUAGAACGCCGGAAGUAGUUGGGGGUUGCCC
rnacentral:rRNA from 1 species